CCUGAACGCUGGCGGCGUGGCUAAGACAUGCAAGUCGCACGGUGUAGCAAUACACAGUGGCGAACGGGUGAGUAAUGAAUCGCUAAUGUGCCCCCGGACUCUGGGAUAGCUACCCGAAAGGGUAGGUAAUACCAGACGAUAUAACUCUGUCGCAUGGCAGGGUUCUCAAAGGUCCGCCGGUCUGGGAGCAGGCGAUUUCGUAUCAGCUAGUUGGUGAGGUAACGGCUUACCAAGGCGAUGACGCGUAGCUGGUCUGAGAGGACGGCCAGCCACAUCGGGACUGAGACACUGCCCGGACUCCGUACGGGGGGCUNCAGUAACGAAUCUUCCACAAUGCAACGAAAGU
rnacentral:rRNA from 1 species